ACUCCUACGGGAGGCAGCAGUGGGGAAUAUUGCACAAAUGGGCGCAAAGCCUGAUGCAGCCAUGCCGCGUGUAUGAAGAAGGCCUUCGGGUUGUAAAAGCACUUUCAGUUGUGAGGAAGGUGGUGUCGUUAAUAGCGGCCUCAUUUGACGUUAGCUGCAAGAAAGAAGCACCGGCUAACUCCGUGCCAGCAGCCGCGGUAAUACGGAGGGUGCGAGCGUUAAUCGGAAUUACUGGGCGUAAAGCGCAUGCAGGUGGUUUGUUAAGUCAGAUGUGAAAGCCCGGGGCU
rnacentral:rRNA from 1 species